AAACAAUUUUGCAUCCGCAAAAAUUUUGUGGGCAAGUGGACUCCUUAAAAACAUAUUUUGUGUCGUAGUUGUGGUCGAUUUCCAAUUUACUAGUCAAAUUUUAAUAAAAUUGAAAUCCGGACUUCAAAUUUAUUUAUGCCAAACUUUUUUCCAGUGGCAAAAUUUGGACUGGGUAGAAAAAUGUCCUGAAACUAUUUAUCCUGGCAACAAUCCCACUGGUUUUACCGGUCCCACUAAACGUGGAGAAUGCUUUACUCCCAAAAUUUGAAAGUCUCAAAUCUUCUCAUGCUUCAAAUCCCUCUCAUGCUUUAUGGAGGAUGCUACCCGCCUGGUGGGUGGGGAUAUCCAAGUUUUCCUACAUUUCGUACCCAACAUAAACCAAGGCCGCUGUCAGACGGUUUUUAUUUCCGUCCGCGUCCCCCACAUUUCUAUACAGACCAUUUCUCACACUUAUAGACGAUUAAUGAAUAACAGGUUAGGGUUCGUUCAUAAAUUAUGUAAAGUGAAAAUCAAAUUUUCUAGACCCUUUCCUCUUAAUUUGUGUCACUUAGGCAAGAUAUCGUUGGAGUUUAUAUAUUUAUACCGUCUUGUUUUACAUACAGAAUUUAUGAGCGGCCCCUCACCUGCCCCUUGGCAGAGCAACAAUGCCAUCUUUGCAGUGACAUACAUUGACCCUUGCGCAUUUCCUUCACAGUUAACUUAUGUAAUGCUGUUUCGUAAAUUAGUAAAAGUGUCAAUCAUUUGUAAAAUAUAUCUAUCAUCAUAUAUCUAUCAUUUGUAAAAUAUAUUUACAUAUUUAUA